CUCAGCAUGGAGACGCAUUAAUUAGCGCUCAGCAGUAUUACUUACUAGCACUAUUAUUAAAGGUCUUAUUAGUAUGAAUGACCAUAUUCUUGACAUUGGGAAGCGUGGGCUGCAGGGUUGAGAAUGAAUACAUGAUCAGUGUAGGAUCAAACCUGACCAACGCUGCUUUGACUUUUUGUGUUUAUUUUUUUAAAGAGAUGAAAUGUAGAGUUUGAUGUAUUUUGCACAUGUUCUUCUGAAAGGUGAACCUAAGGGCUUUUCUGUACACACCUUCUUAUUUUAAUACCAACACCAUUCGCCACUGCCCUCUGUGGAGAAUGGGAGAAAUGUGCUUGCACCUCAACCUAUGGACUCGGACAUUCAAUCAUCAUCUUCCUAACUCAAGCGAGGUGGUUUCCUUCCACUUGUAGCAGGACCAGUACGUCUGCCAGCUCCAGAUAGAGCUCCAGUGACCAGGAAGACCUCAGCAUUCGCCAAUUCCUGCUGAAUUACCGCAAACAGAAAGAACUGACAGAGGGCAUUGGAAUAGAGGAUGAUUAUAACACUGAAGACCGAGAGGUCCUUCCCCUUGAGUGUAAGGAUGUGGAAGAUAUUGGUAGUCCUGAUGUGAAAGCAGAGCUUCCCUCCCACCUCAGCAUCACUAAGGAUGUUAUGGAGCGCUGCAUUCAUCUGCUGUCUGAUCCCAGCCUCAGGCUCCGACUCAAGGUACUGGACGUGCUGGAGUUGUGCGUUCAGGUGCUGAGUGAGAGGGAAAAUGAACUGCUGCCUAUGGCUCAUCGCUGCUGGCCAGCACUCCUGCAGAGACUCACAGCCGAUGACCCAUUAGCAGUCCUCAGAGCCUUCAGGGUGCUGUGCGUGCUGGGUGAAACAUGUGGGGACUUUGUGAGGAGGAGGGUUUCUAAAGAGGUUCUGCCCAAGCUGAGCGCCUCUCUGGCACGGCAGGCUCCGAUCAGCGCCAAGGCUGGGCCUGUCUACACACACACCCUGGCCUAGAAACUGCAGCUGGCUGUAUUGCAGGGGCUGGGCUGACUGUGCCAGAGACUGGAUCUGGGCAGGGUAAAGACAUGGUGAUAAAUGAGUGUGUGGGCCAUCUGCUGAGGACCAAGAGCUCAGGACACUCAGACGGGGGUGUCACAGCAGGAGUCACCGUGCUCCACAAUCCUCUGCUGUUGUGAGAUGUCCCACUCCUGCCUGCACAUAGAAACCACAGUGAAGUCAAAGUUCCACCUGCACCUCCACCUGUUCUUGCAACAGCAUGAAAACUGACAGAGGUGAGACAGCAGAAAAGUCUUUGUUUAUUUUUGUAAUGAGUUAAGGAAUUAAGUGAAGAAGAGUGAUUAAAUAAAUUGUUUCUUGCAUUUUUGAUUUAAUGAUUGUGUUUAGGAUUAUUUCAGAAACAUGUUUAGAGGAUCUUUGUAAGCCUGUAUUUACUUUAAAAGAAGGGAAGCACUUCUUCAUUCUACAGAAAAGGUGACACAUUACAGAUGAGUUCAUAAAAAGUGUCUCUGUCACUCUUUCAAGGCUCUCUCACUUUUUCUUUUUUACUGGAACAGCAUGGUAAAGUAGGCCUAGGCUGCCAUCUUGUGGCAGUGUGUUGUUACUACAACAUAUGAAAUUGUGUUUCUAUUGGAAAUAUAAUUCAGCGCCACCGAGCCGCUCUCUCAGUUACAAACUGAACCUGUUUUUUUUAGACAGAUAAAUCACUAAGCACAGUGAAGCUUUUGGUUUUGUAAAAGUGUUUCUUAUUCAAAAUGCAUGUUGAUUUUUAUAAGGUUGAAGAGCAGUUAGCAGUGCAUUCAUGGACAUCUUUAAACUAUAAAUUGAAGAAUCUUUGGUCAUGAUGGCAUGAACUAGAAACGUGAGCUCCAGGUGAGACUGCACAGAAGAACAAGUGUCCUUAAACUGCAUCAACUGAUGACUUCUUACAAUUUUAUUCUUAUUCUAAUCUUAAUGUUUGGUUUAUUUUGGUGUUUAUUUGUUCCUGAGCAAAUCAGUUUGGCUGAGAUUAAAGUUCAGCUUCAUAACCAGACUGUUUUAUUUAAUUUUAAAGUCUUACUUGGAGAGCUGUCAGUAGAUUUUAAACUGAAUAUUUCACCUAUCGUAUCUCCUGAUGAAAAAUGUUCUCUUCUAAUGUAAACAGCUGACUCUGAAUUACAUUUAACAUUAAAAUAUUUUAAUUCAGAAGGAACUAUUUUCACCAGGAGCAGAAACAGCACGUUAAUACUUGGAGAUCCCAAAGGCUGCUCCAGAAACGAUUAAAGUAUAUUUAAAAUAUUUGUUCAGUUCUUUUUCAAACCCCAGCAGCUUUCUGUUCUAAGUUUUGAGUCUCUACUAAAAUUAAAAUAAAAGCAUUGUAACCUGUUUGUUUUUAUUUAAUAAACUGUACACUGUUAUUAUUAAGAGAGAUUAAGCUUGUGUUUCUGUCAUGCAGUGAUUGUGCUUAACUGUAUGAAGCUUAUUAAACAUUAUGAAAUAUAGCACAUGUAAAAGCCAAUUCUGCCAAAGUGCUUAAAAUACUUGUUUAAAUUAUCUUUUUUUUUUUUUUUUUUUAAAGAAAUCUGCUUCAUCUUGUGUAAUUUUUUAUAUCAUGUGUAUUUCCAUCACAACCUGCUGUGGUUUUAUUUGGAAAUGUUUUUAUUGUUCCGUGCUGCACUCAGUGUGAAUGUAGAGAUUUGUGAAUUUCACCAGUAAUAAA